UACGUAGGGGGCUAGCGUUGUCCGGAUUUAUUGGGCGUAAAGGGUGCGUAGGCGGGUCUUUAAGUCAGGGGUGAAAUCCUGGAGCUCAACUCCAGAACUGCCUUUGAUACUGAAGAUCUUGAGUUCGGGAGAGGUGAGUGGAACUGCGAGUGUAGAGGUGAAAUUCGUAGAUAUUCGCAAGAACACCAGUGGCGAAGGCGGCUCACUGGCCCGAUACUGACGCUGAGGCACGAAAGCGUGGGGAGCAAACAGG
rnacentral:rRNA from 1 species